rnacentral:rRNA from 1 species
GGUUAAGCGACUAAGCGUACACGGUGGAUGCCCUGGCAGUCAGAGGCGAUGAAGGACGUGCUAAUCUGCGAUAAGCGCCGGUAAGGUGAUAUGAACCGUUAUAACCGGCGAUUUCCGAAUGGGGAAACCCAGUGUGACUCGUCACACUAUCAUUAACUGAAUCCAUAGGUUAAUGAGGCGAACCGGGGGAACUGAAACAUCUAAGUACCCCGAGGAAAAGAAAUCAACCGAGAUUCCCCCAGUAGCGGCGAGCGAACGGGGAGGAGCCCAGAGCCUGAAUCAGCAUGUGUGUUAGUGGAAGCGUCUGGAAAGGCGCGCGAUACAGGGUGACAGCCCCGUACACAAAAGCGCAUGUGCUGUGAGCUCGAUGAGUAGGGCGGGACACGUGGUAUCCUGUCUGAAUAUGGGGGGGACCAUCCUCCAAGGCUAAAU